rnacentral:rRNA from 1 species
GACGAACGCUGGCGGCGUGCCUAAUACAUGCAAGUAGAACGCUGAAGAGAGGAGCUUGCUCUUCUUGGAUGAGUUGCGAACGGGUGAGUAACGCGUAGGUAACCUGCCUUGUAGCGGGGGAUAACUAUUGGAAACGAUAGCUAAUACCGCAUAACAAUGGAUGACACAUGUCAUUUAUUUGAAAGGGGCAAUUGCUCCACUACAAGAUGGACCUGCGUUGUAUUAGCUAGUAGGUGAGGUAACGGCUCACCUAGGCGACGAUACAUAGCCGACCUGAGAGGGUGAUCGGCCACACUGGGACUGAGACACGGCCCAGACUCCUACGGGAGGCAGCAGUAGGGAAUCUUCGGCAAUGGGGGCAACCCUGACCGAGCAACGCCGCGUGAGUGAAGAAGGUUUUCGGAUCGUAAAGCUCUGUUGUAAGUCAAGAACGAGUGUGAGAGUGGAAAGUUCACACUGUGACGGUAGCUUACCAGAAAGGGACGGCUAACUACGUGCCAGCAGCCGCGGUAAUACGUAGGUCCCGAGCGUUGUCCGGAUUUAUUGGGCGUAAAGCGAGCGCAGGCGGUUUGAUAAGUCUGAAGUUAAAGGCUGUGGCUCAACCAUAGUUCGCUUUGGAAACUGUCAAACUUGAGUGCAGAAGGGGAGAGUGGAAUUCCAUGUGUAGCGGUGAAAUGCGUAGAUAUAUGGAGGAACACCGGUGGCGAAAGCGGCUCUCUGGUCUGUAACUGACGCUGAGGCUCGAAAGCGUGGGGAGCGAACAGGAUUAGAUACCCUGGUAGUCCACGCCGUAAACGAUGAGUGCUAGGUGUUGGAUCCUUUCCGGGAUUCAGUGCCGCAGCUAACGCAUUAAGCACUCCGCCUGGGGAGUACGACCGCAAGGUUGAAACUCAAAGGAAUUGACGGGGGCCCGCACAAGCGGUGGAGCGUGUGGUUUAAUUCGAAGCAACGCGAAGAACCUUACCAGGUCUUGACAUCCCGAUGCUAUUUCUAGAGAUAGAAAGUUACUUCGGUACAUCGGUGACAGGUGGUGCAUGGUUGUCGUCAGCUCGUGUCGUGAGAUGUUGGGUUAAGUCCCGCAACGAGCGCAACCCCUAUUGUUAGUUGCCAUCAUUCAGUUGGGCACUCUAGCGAGACUGCCGGUAAUAAACCGGAGGAAGGUGGGGAUGACGUCAAAUCAUCAUGCCCCUUAUGACCUGGGCUACACACGUGCUACAAUGGUUGGUACAACGAGUUGCGAGUCGGUGACGGCAAGCUAAUCUCUUAAAGCCAAUCUCAGUUCGGAUUGUAGGCUGCAACUCGCCUACAUGAAGUCGGAAUCGCAAGUAAUCGCGGAUCAGCACGCCGCGGUGAAUACGUUCCCGGGCCU